CUUUUGACAUGUACUACCAUUGAACAUCAUUAAUAUGAAAGUUCACGUGCAGUGAAUAAAUUACGAAAGCUUUUAGCUAAAUACGCCGAGGUUCGAGCAAAAACACUUUGACUUAGCACAAAGUUCCGAUUAAAUUAAGCACACGUGCUAAAUUACAAUGAACAGCCUAAUUUUGGUUGUAUCAAUAUGGACAUUACUUGUAGUCGUGACGUCUGCGAAGAAAAAGAAGGAGGAGGAUCCGCUGGGCCUCGGUGGAAUAAUGUCGGCGCUGACGAGCUCAAACCAACUAGGAACCAAGAUGGGUCCUGGGGAAAUCAUGACGAUAAUGACUCAAGUCCAAACCUUGCAAGAUAGCUUAUCCAAGAAGAAAGGUUCUAGUUCAAAGAAGUCGAACAAAUCAAAGAAGUCGAACAAAUCAAAGAAGUCGAACAAAUCAAAGAAGUCGAAGAAAUCAAAGAAGUCGAACAAAUCAAAGAAGUCGAAGAAAUCUAAAAAAUCUUCUAACAAAUCAUCUAAAAAGUCGUCCAAAAAGUCGUCUAAAAAAUCAUCAAACAAAUCAAACAAGAACAAGAAAAGUAAAAAAAGCUCCGGAAAACACUAAGUGAUGUGCUUAUGACACAGAUCUCAAAUCAUCUAGAGAAACCUGUUCUAGAAGAAAGUGUUCGACACAGAAAUUUCGUAAUUUAAUCACAAUAAAUAAAUAUGCAGUGCUA